AACGAGACUAGAGUCACACCCUGACACUUCCUGUGGUCCUGGUGUGCUGUUGUUCUCGAAAAUUGAAUACUACUGUUAUUCACUGGCUGGAGCUUCUAGUAGCAGUCAGUUACCAGGUUAGUGACACUA